UACGUAGGGUGCGAGCGUUGUUCGGAAUCAUUGGGCGUAAAGCGGGUGUAGGCGGCUCUGUAAGUCAGGAGUGAAAGCCCCAAGCUUAACUUGGGAAGUGCUUUUGAUACUGCGGAGCUUGAAUGUGGGAGAGGGUAGUGGGAAUUCCAGGUGUAGUGGUGAAAUACGUAGAUAUCUGGAGGAACACCGGUGGCGAAGGCGGCUACCUGGCCCAACAUUGACGCUGAGACCCGAAAGCAUGGGGAUCAAACAGG
rnacentral:rRNA from 1 species